rnacentral:rRNA from 1 species
CUCCUAAAUGUCCAAGGCUGCACGCGCACUACACUGAUGCAGUAAACGAGUCUGAUUGCCUUUUGGCAACCUGCCUUGAAGAGGGCGGGAAACCUUUGGAAACUGCAUCGUGAUGAGGAUAGAUGAUUGCAAUUAUUCUCCUUGAAUGCCUAGUAGGCCCAAGUCAUCAGCUUGCACCGAUUUACGUCCCUGGUAUUUGUACACACCGCCGCUUGGGUAGAACCCGGUGGCCUUUAAUAGACCAAAACCGAGUAAUAUUCACGCGCUAGAGGAAGAAGCAAAAGUCGUAGCA